AUUGAACGCUGGCGGCAGGCCUAACACAUGCAAGUCGAGCGGAUGAACGGAGCUUGCUCCUGGAUUCAGCGGCGGACGGGUGAGUAAUGCCUAUGAAUCUGCCUGGUAGUGGGGGAUAACGUCCGGAAACGGGCGCUAAUACUGCAUACGUCCUGAGGGAGAAAGUGGGGGAUCUUCGGACCUCACGCUAUCAGAUGAGCCUAGGUCGGAUUAGCUAGUUGGUGGGGUAAAGGCCUACCAAGGCGACGAUCCGUAACUGGUCUGAGAGAAUGAUCAGUCACACUGGAGCUUGGACACGGUCCAGACUCCUACGGGAGGCAGCAGUGGGGAAUAUUGGACAAUGGGCGAAAGCCUGAUCCAGCCAUGCCGCGUGUGUGAAGAAGGUCUUCGGAUCGUAAAGCACGUUAAGUUGGGAGGAAGGGCAGUAAGUUAAUACCUUGCUGUUUUGACGUUACCAACAGAAUAAGCACCGGCUAACUUCGUG
rnacentral:rRNA from 1 species